GGGUUGUGAGGUUAAGUGACUAAGCGUACACGGUGGAUGCCCUGGCAGUCAGAGGCGAUGAAGGACGUGCUAAUCUGCGAUAAGCGUCGGUAAGGUGAUAUGAACCGUUAUAACCGGCGAUUUCCGAAUGGGGAAACCCAGUGUGUUUCGACACACUAUCAUUAACUGAAUCCAUAGGUUAAUGAGGCGAACCGGGGGAACUGAAACAUCUAAGUACCCCGAGGAAAAGAAAUCAACCGAGAUUCCCCCAGUAGCGGCGAGCGAACGGGGAGCAGCCCAGAGCCUGAAUCAGUGUGUGUGUUAGUGGAAGCGUCUGGAAAGGCGCGCGAUACAGGGUGACAGCCCCGUACACAAAAAUGCACAUACUGUGAGCUCGAUGAGUAGGGCGGGACACGUGGUAUCCUGUCUGAAUAUGGGGGACCAUCCUCCAAGGCUAAAUACUCCUGACUGACCGAUAGUGAACCAGUACCGUGAGGGAAAGGCGAAAAGAACCCCGGCGAGGGGAGUGAAAAAGAACCUGAAACCGUGUACGUACAAGCAGUGGGAGCACGCUUAGGCGUGUGACUGCGUACCUUUUGUAUAAUGGGUCAGCGACUUAUAUUCUGUAGCAAGGUUAACCGAAUAGGGGAGCCGAAGGGAAACCGAGUCUUAACUGGGCGUUAAGUUGCAGGGUAUAGACCCGAAACCCGGUGAUCUAGCCAUGGGCAGGUUGAAGGUUGGGUAACACUAACUGGAGGACCGAACCGACUAAUGUUGAAAAAUUAGCGGAUGACUUGUGGCUGGGGGUGAAAGGCCAAUCAAACCGGGAGAUAGCUGGUUCUCCCCGAAAGCUAUUUAGGUAGCGCCUCGUGAAUUCAUCUCCGGGGGUAGAGCACUGUUUCGGCAAGGGGGUCAUCCCGACUUACCAACCCGAUGCAAACUGCGAAUACCGGAGAAUGUUAUCACGGGAGACACACGGCGGGUGCUAACGUCCGUCGUGAAGAGGGAAACAACCCAGACCGCCAGCUAAGGUCCCAAAGUCAUGGUUAAGUGGGAAACGAUGUGGGAAGGCCCAGACAGCCAGGAUGUUGGCUUAGAAGCAGCCAUCAUUUAAAGAAAGCGUAAUAGCUCACUGGUCGAGUCGGCCUGCGCGGAAGAUGUAACGGGGCUAAACCAUGCACCGAAGCUGCGGCAGCGACGCUGAUGCGUUGUUGGGUAGGGGAGCGUUCUGUAAGCCUGUGAAGGUGUGCUGUGAGGCAUGCUGGAGGUAUCAGAAGUGCGAAUGCUGACAUAAGUAACGAUAAAGCGGGUGAAAAGCCCGCUCGCCGGAAGACCAAGGGUUCCUGUCCAACGUUAAUCGGGGCAGGGUGAGUCGACCCCUAAGGCGAGGCCGAAAGGCGUAGUCGAUGGGAAACAGGUUAAUAUUCCUGUACUUGGUGUUACUGCGAAGGGGGACGGAGAAGGCUAUGUUGGCCGGGCGACGGUUGUCCCGGUUUAAGCGUGUAGGCUGGUUUUCCAGGCAAAUCCGGAAAACUAAGGCUGAGGCGUGAUGACGAGGCACUACGGUGCUGAAGCAACAAAUGCCCUGCUUCCAGGAAAAGCCUCUAAGCAUCAGGUAACAUCAAAUCGUACCCCAAACCGACACAGGUGGUCAGGUAGAGAAUACCAAGGCGCUUGAGAGAACUCGGGUGAAGGAACUAGGCAAAAUGGUGCCGUAACUUCGGGAGAAGGCACGCUGAUAUGUAGGUGAAGCGACUUGCUCGUGGAGCUGAAAUCAGUCGAAGAUACCAGCUGGCUGCAACUGUUUAUUAAAAACACAGCACUGUGCAAACACGAAAGUGGACGUAUACGGUGUGACGCCUGCCCGGUGCCGGAAGGUUAAUUGAUGGGGUCAGCGCAAGCGAAGCUCUUGAUCGAAGCCCCGGUAAACGGCGGCCGUAACUAUAACGGUCCUAAGGUAGCGAAAUUCCUUGUCGGGUAAGUUCCGACCUGCACGAAUGGCGUAAUGAUGGCCAGGCUGUCUCCACCCGAGACUCAGUGAAAUUGAACUCGCUGUGAAGAUGCAGUGUACCCGCGGCAAGACGGAAAGACCCCGUGAACCUUUACUAUAGCUUGACACUGAACAUUGAGCCUUGAUGUGUAGGAUAGGUGGGAGGCUUUGAAGUGUGGACGCCAGUCUGCAUGGAGCCGACCUUGAAAUACCACCCUUUAAUGUUUGAUGUUCUAACGUUGACCCGUGAUCCGGGUUGCGGACAGUGUCUGGUGGGUAGUUUGACUGGGGCGGUCUCCUCCUAAAGAGUAACGGAGGAGCACGAAGGUUGGCUAAUCCUGGUCGGACAUCAGGAGGUUAGUGCAAUGGCAUAAGCCAGCUUGACUGCGAGCGUGACGGCGCGAGCAGGUGCGAAAGCAGGUCAUAGUGAUCCGGUGGUUCUGAAUGGAAGGGCCAUCGCUCAACGGAUAAAAGGUACUCCGGGGAUAACAGGCUGAUACCGCCCAAGAGUUCAUAUCGACGGCGGUGUUUGGCACCUCGAUGUCGGCUCAUCACAUCCUGGGGCUGAAGUAGGUCCCAAGGGUAUGGCUGUUCGCCAUUUAAAGUGGUACGCGAGCUGGGUUUAGAACGUCGUGAGACAGUUCGGUCCCUAUCUGCCGUGGGCGCUGGAGAACUGAGGGGGGCUGCUCCUAGUACGAGAGGACCGGAGUGGACGCAUCACUGGUGUUCGGGUUGUCAUGCCAAUGGCACUGCCCGGUAGCUAAAUGCGGAAGAGAUAAGUGCUGAAAGCAUCUAAGCACGAAACUUGCCCCGAGAUGAGUUCUCCCUGACUCCUUGAGAGUCCUGAAGGAACGUUGAAGACGACGACGUUGAUAGGCCGGGUGUGUAAGCGCAGCGAUGCGUUGAGCUAACCGGUACUAAUGAACCGUGAGGCUUAACCUUACAACGCCGAAGCUGUU
rnacentral:rRNA from 1 species